GAUGAACGCUGGCGGCGUGCCUAAUACAUGCAAGUCGAGCGAACAGACGAGGAGCUUGCUCCUCUGACGUUAGCGGCGGACGGGUGAGUAACACGUGGAUAACCUACCUAUAAGACUGGGAUAACUUCGGGAAACCGGAGCUAAUACCGGAUAAUAUAUUGAACCGCAUGGUUCAAUAGUGAAAGACGGUUUUGCUGUCACUUAUAGAUGGAUCCGCGCCGCAUUAGCUAGUUGGUAAGGUAACGUCUUACCAAGGCAACGAUGCGUAGCCGACCUGAGAGGGUGAUCGGCCACACUGGAACUGAGACACGGUCCAGACUCCUACGGGAAGCAGCAGUAGGGAAUCUUCCGCAAUGGGCGAAAGCCUGACGGAGCAACGCCGCGUGAGUGAUGAAGGUCUUCGGAUCGUAAAACUCUGUUAUUAGGGAAGAACAAAUGUGUAAGUAACUAUGCACGUCUUGACGGUACCUAAUCAGAAAGCCACGGCUAACUACGUA
rnacentral:rRNA from 1 species